GACGAACGCUGGCGGCGUGCUUAACACAUGCCAGUCGAACGGAAAGUCCCUGCUUGUGUGGGGUGCUCGAGUGGCGAACGGGUGAGUAACACGGGAGUAACCUGCUCUGUACUUUGGGAUAACUCCAGGAAACUGGGGCUAAUACCGGAUAGGAGCUCCUGUUGUUUGGUUGGGUUUGGAAAGUUUCGGCGGAUGGGGAUGGAGUGGCGGUGAAUCAUCUUGUCGGUGGGGUUGUGCUUGACCAAGGCUUUGCGGGGUAGCCGGCCUGAGAGGGUGACCGGGCACAGUGGGAUAGAGGUGGGGGCCAGACUGCUACGGGGGGCAGCGGUGGGAAAUAGUGCAAGAUGGGCGGAAGGAGGAAGGAGGAACGUCGGGUGCGGGAUGACGGUCUUCGGGUUGUAAAACGGUUUCGCCUGGGACGAAGAGCGAGUGACGGUAAUGGGUAAAGAAGCAACGGCUAACUACGUG
rnacentral:rRNA from 1 species